CAAGAACACGUGAGGGAAGCGGAGAGCCAGAAGACCCCAUAGGGAAGACCAAAAGACCAGGUCGAUGCCAACUCCUGGAGGAGGAGAUUCCCGAGGUUUCCCCACUAGCCCCCUCUGUCCAAGGCCAUGCAGUGAGGACCAGAUUCCUGUAUGCAUGCCGGCUCUGCUCUGGAAAGGGGGUGCCAGUGUGCUGGACUUGGUCACGGAGAGCACGCUCAUCUUAUGGCUUGGUGUGCAUGUCUGACGUGGGUAUGUACAUGAGUCCAGGUAUCUGAGGAGGCCUUGGAUCCCCUGGAUGUUGGAAGCUGCUUGACAUGGUGCUGAGAACUGAACUUGAGCCCUCUGGAGGAGCAGCCAGUGCCCUUAACUUCUGAGUCAUCUCUCUACCCCUGACAUUGUUAGAGAUUGCUGGGGAAGACUCGUACUUACUCUGUGUGUGACACCAUGCCUUCCAAUGUCUAGUUUCAUUCCAUGCCCAGAGAUGUGUAAAAAAAAUAAAAUCAGAUAAAUUUCAAAAAAAAAAAAAAA
rnacentral:lncRNA from 1 species